GACGGAGGGCGCAAGCGUUGUUCGGAAUCACUGGGCGUAAAGCGCACGCAGGUGGUCCCUUAAGUCCACUGUUAAAUCACGGGGCUCAACCCCGGAGGUGCAGCGGAUACUGAGGGACUGGAGACUGGUAGAGGCUAGCGGAAUUCCUGGUGUAGCGGUGGAAUGCGUAGAUAUCAGGAGGAACACCGGUGGCGAAGGCGGCUAGCUGGGCCAGUUCUGACGCUCAUGUGCGAAAGCGUGGGGAGCAAAC
rnacentral:rRNA from 1 species